AGCCCAGAGGAUCGGAAUGACAGAUCAAGAAGAAUUUUCUGCGAAAGAACUUUCUUACACCUUUUCCAAGAAAAGAUCCUGGAUUGGGACUACAUGUUGAGCCUGGAGAAAUGAUAGGCUGUAGUAUGAAUCAGAACACCUGGUAGAUGCUAAGUAAACAGAAGGAAUUUAUCAUCUUCCAGCCUUACCCAAUGGAUUGGACUUUUCUGUUAUCUUAAUCACACUACUUUAGUUUUAGUGUUUAAAAAAAUUAUUAUUUUUUGUCUGGUACCAAUCAUCUAAAAGGGUUUAGUGUUCAUUGCAUAUUGAAUACCUUAAUGGUGGCGAUUAUAAUCUAGUUUUUACUUUAAGUUUUCAUCAUCUUACCACUCUUCAGCAUUGCACAGAACAGUAUCUGUAAGACUAUGUAUGCUAUCCCAAAGGCGUAGAGGUUUGAGGAAAGAAAGGAAGAACUUAUUUAUGCCUUGAGGUUUCAUGAUGAUGAAGGUAGGGAGGGAGUUUUCCAAGAAUUUGUGAAAUCACCUUUCUCAAAUAUAGACUUAUUUUAUUACUUGGGGUACUAUUAAUACAAAAUCGUUCAUAACUUAACAAAAA
rnacentral:sRNA from 1 species